UUUUAUCAGAAGUACGGCGUUUACAGAGAGAUAGCCUUUAUUUGUAAAAAUGGAGUCAUAGUCAACAGAUAUAUUGUUUGCUUUCAAAUAAUACAAAAAUAAAUCAAUACUUUUCACACAUGCAAUUAUCCUCGACUUUUAAAAAUGCCAUUACAAAUACAUUUAUAUCUGCCCUCAAAUUAAAAUUGAAUCACUGAUUUAAGAUCCGUGCCCCAGGAAUAUGGGCACCUGUCAAACUCGGGAUUAAAUAUUAAUUAUGAGAAAUAUCUGUGCUGUCUGGUAGUUUUAAAAAAAGAAAAAAAUAUAUAUAUUUUUUAAUACUCUACAUUUCAAUUUAUGUCCCCCCCCCCAGUUGAGCGGAGGCCAGAAUUGGAUGAACUCCGACGUUAUCGAUGACACUGCACUUUCCCGACUCAAAACAAGCUGUCCCAGUGCCAUCUGGCAGGGCCGGUCGAUUGGCGGCAGAACCAGAUGAGACUGGCGCCACUUUUCCAUGGCCGACGCGCCAUCAAAGUGCGACGUGCGCCGACGACGGAAGGCAAUUAAACGAUAAUCACGCCGUGACUGAAGCGUAGCGGCAGCUGCCGGCGUCCGCGGGCCGCUCGUUCCGUCGGAUGAGACAGCGGUUGUUCAUCACGCAGAUGUGAGAGAUUUCUCGUCAACGAUGAUGAAACGCUCAACAGCUCCCCUUUACGCCCAUAAAUCAUUCACGGAGGCUUUUGAAGGCGCUCGAGUCGGCGAGGCUCUUAUCUGACCCGGCGCCGCCUCAUUCCUGUUCCUGCGGCACACCUUCAUUCAUUAGCGGCGGAAGCAGGACGCGCCGCCCAAACCUCCGACGGAGCAAAAUGAGGACGGGGUGACAUUGUAGGACGGUUUUGCGGGACCUACGUCAUCGUUAAAAAGCUCCAUGACGAAGGUGGCCACGCUGCCGUUGAUGCCGAUGAAGAGGUUGAUGCAGUUUCUUGAGCAGCGCCUGGGCUGUGAGGAGGAGCUCGUUCGUCACGUUGGCCUAAUGAAGACGAAGCAAAACAAGUUUUAAUUGGACACACUCGGAAAAAUUCUCCUGGAAGCAAGCGGAAUGCGGCGGAAGAGGAGCACGCAGAUUCCAAAUGACCUCGCUUCCAUUUCGGGCCUUGUGGGAAAGAAUGUCGGGGAAAUGACAUGCCGGCGAUUUCCGCCGCCACGUUUGACGCCACGCUGUUCCGUAACAGACGCGGUGGCCACAUUACACGUGCGAUAUAAAUGCAAAUGGGUUUCCCCCCCUGUCUGAGCCCAAAUUCAUCAUCAGCACAGCGGAGAGCGCGGAUGUGGCAUGGGGCGACGAGAAAAAAAGUUGAAGUUGCCCUCGACUAUGGGAAAUAGUGUGGCCUAUGACAUAUUUGCAUAGAACAUAUGAUGUGAGAUACAAACGUGGAAUUGGACUGUAGAGUGACCAAUGAUAUUUCUUUUUAUACGCAAC